CAGUCGAGCGGAUGAGGGAGCUUGCUCCUGAAUUCAGCGGCGGACGGGUGAGUAAUGCCUAGGAAUCUGCCUGGUAGUGGGGGACAACGUUUCGAAAGGAACGCUAAUACCGCAUACGUCCUACGGGAGAAAGCAGGGGACCUUCGGGCCUUGCGCUAUCAGAUGAGCCUAGGUCGGAUUAGCUAGUUGGUGAGGUAAUGGCUCACCAAGGCGACGAUCCGUAACUGGUCUGAGAGGAUGAUCAGUCACACUGGAACUGAGACACGGUCCAGACUCCUACGGGAGGCAGCAGUGGGGAAUAUUGGACAAUGGGCGAAAGCCUGAUCCAGCCAUGCCGCGUGUGUGAAGAAGGUCUUCGGAUUGUAAAGCACUUUAAGUUGGGAGGAAGGGUUGUAGAUUAAUACUCUGCAGUUUUGACGUUACCGACAGAAUAAGCACCGGCUAACUCUGUGCCAGCAGCCGCGGUAAUACAGAGGGUGCAAGCGUUAAUCGGAAUUACUGGGCGUAAAGCGCGCGUAGGUGGUUCGUUAAGUUGGAUGUG
rnacentral:rRNA from 1 species